rnacentral:misc_RNA from 1 species
UGGCUCUCGCAUCGAUGAAGAACGCAGCGAAAUGCGAUAAGUAAUGUGAAUUGCAGAAUUCAGUGAAUCAUCGAAUCUUUGAACGCACCUUGCACCCUUUGGCAUUCCGAAGGGUACACCCGUCUGAGAAUCAUUGUACUCUCAUCUCUCCACCUCUGUGUGAAGAGUUGGAAUUGGACGCCUGUCGUAGAGAUACGACUUGUCUGAAAAGUCUCAGUAUAACUCAUCUAUCGGUGUAUUUGAUGUGAUAAUAUCUUCAUCAAGCAUGUCCUCUGGACGUGCACCGUUAUUGAGCUCUGUGCUUCGAACCGUCUCUUCGAGACACUACUUGACAAUUUGAUCUCAGAUCGGGUGGGACUACCCGCUGA